GUCGUGAGAUGUUGGGUUAAGUCCCGCAACGAGCGCAACCCCCGUCGCAUGUUGCCAGCAUUUAGUUGGGGACUCAUGCGAGACUGCCGGUGACAAACCGGAGGAAGGUGGGGAUGACGUCAAGUCAUCAUGCCCCUUAUGUCCGGGGCUACACACGUGCUACAUUGGCGCGUACAGAGGGCAGCGAUACCGCGAGGUGGAGCGAAUCCCUUAAAGCGCGUCUCGGUUCGGAUUGCAGGCUGAAACCCGCCUGCAUGAAGGUGGAGUUGCUAGUAAUCGCGGAUCAGCAUUGCCGCGGUGAAUACGUUCCCGGGCCUUGUACACACCGCCCGUCACACCACGGGAGUGGGUAACACCCGAAGCCGGUGGCCUGACCCUCGGGAGGGAGCCGUCGAAGGUGGGACCCGUGACUGGGGUGAAGUCGUAACAAGGUAGCCGUAGCGGAAGCUGCGGCUGGAUCACCUCCUUUCUAGGGAGCCCCUAAGGGGGCACGUGAGGAAACGGAGCCGAUCCGACUCGUCGUCAGCGGCCCGCCAGGGUGCCACGAUUUAUCCUGGCCUCCGAAUGGGAGCGCCGCGCCGAGGUUCAGGAUCCGGCGAUCGACCGCACGGCUAGAACGUCGACCGGACCUGGCAGGCCAAUGCGCCUGUCCGCAUGCUGCUGAGUUUUGAGAGACCGCCGCGGGAGACCCCUGUGGCAGACCUCCUGGCGGCCCUUGAAAACUGCAGAUGCGAAGCAACGACGUACGAGCGAAUCGAUAAGUCCGCUCGUGCGUCAACGGGUAUCACCACAUGCCGCCCAAACGAGUUCGGGUGGGCGUGUGAUCACCGUCAAGAUAGUAAGGGCACACGGUGGAUGCCUUGGCACCUAGAGGCGAAGAAGGACGUGAACGACUGCGAUAAGCCACGGUGAGGCGUUGAAUGGCCUUUGACCCGUGGAUUU
rnacentral:sRNA from 1 species